CUUCCUGGUUUAAGAUCAGCCUUUUCUCAUGGUCGCGAAUGUAUUGCACUCGAGCAAAAAAGUAUUCGCGGUUUUCGGUUAAAUUGAGUGGAUGGGCAUAAAAAGAGCAAGCUGAAAACCAGUGUUUUGGGAGAUAAGAUGAGUUCAGUGAUAUGCAAAUGAGAAGAUACCAGAUGAAGAGAUGGAGACAGAAGGUGCUCCCCUGACAAAUACGACAGGUCUCUGGCCCAUAAAGGUGGAAACUCACGAUGCUACAGAUGAACCUCAGGUGUGGUAUGUCGUCAAGCGAGAAGAUGACCAUGAGUCUGAGGAAGGAUUGCGCUCUGCAGAUAGCCUUCAAGAUAACACUCUGUCACAGGGUAUGCCAGAUGAUGGAACUCUCCCAAAACAUGACUGGAAAACUGAAGAAAAAUAUACACCACAUCAGCAGCCAUCAUCAGCAGUAUGUAGGACCACGGUGGGUACGAAGACUAUGUAUGAUUCUGUAGUGGGUUCUUUGAGGCCAAGUACAGAGCCUGUGAGGAAGUCAGAAAGGGAGAUUAUUCCUAACAACGGCCAGUUGUCGCAAAAUGUGAAGACAGAACCUAUCGAAGCAGACGUGCUAGAAUGUGGGACAGGCACUUGUCCACAAACGGUUGAGUCUGAUGUCGCAAUCUCUGAGACACAUACAGCAGAAAUGGCCUCAGCCAUGCUUCAGUUUGGGUCAAGCACAGCUCAUAUAGACUCAUCCACGCCAGACGCCUGGCACAUAGAGGAAAAUCCUUUAUUGUGCGAAAUCUGCGGGAUUUGUUUGAAAUACCCGAGCAAGUUGAGGAGGCACAUGCGAAUACAUACAGGGGAAAGGCCCCACACCUGCGAUAUGUGCGGUAAAAGCUUCACGGAGGCCUUCGCAUUGAAGAACCACAGGUACAAUCACCUGGACGUGAAGCCGUACAUCUGCGAGGUGUGCGGAAAGAGCUUCUCAUCCUCAUCACACUCAAACUACCACUUGAUUCACGUCGAAGGCAGAGGGGAAGCUGACAUGCUAGAAUGUGGGACAGGCACUUUUCCAGAAACAAUUGAGCCUGAUGUCACAAACUUUGAGACACAUACAGCAGAAAGGGCCUCAGCCAUGCCACAGUUUGGGUCAAGCACAACUCAUAUAGACUCCUCCACGCCAGACGCGUGGCACAUAGAGGAAAAUCCUUUAUUGUGCGAAAUCUGCGGGAUUUGUUUGAAAUACCCUAGCAAGUUGAGGAGGCACAUGCGAAUACAUACAGGGGAAAGACCCCACACCUGCGAUAUAUGCGAUAAAAGCUUCACGGAGGCCUUCGCAUUAAAGAACCACAGGUACAGUCACCUGGACGUGAAGCCGUACAUCUGCGAGGUGUGCGGAAAGAGGUUCUCAUCCUCAUCACACUUAAACUACCAUUUGAUCCACGUCGAAGGCAAGGGCUUCUCGUGCAACGUUUGUGGGAAGAGCUUCAAGCUGAUGUUAACCCUGAAGAGACACAGAGCGAUCCACACUGGCGUGAAACCACACGUCUGCAAAGUGUGCAGCAAGAGUUUCACGCAAAUUUCUCAGUUGAAAAGCCACAUCAGGAUUCACACGCGCGAGAUAUCUUAUUCCUGCGAGAUCUGCUGUCAGACUUUCACGAAUUCCUACUCGCUGAAUAAUCACGGGAGGACACACAAGAGACAAAAGCGACAAGAAGAAGAGGUAAGGCAGCUGGAGGAGACCGGGCAACAAAUAAACGCCGAGCAACAAACGGCAGAAGUAUCCGAUGUGACGGAUAAAGCAGCGUCACAUUCGAACCGUGUGCGCGGGAAAUGUCAAACAAUUCUGAGUUUGCUUCGGAGUGACUCUGCAUCCAAUCUGAGUCAAAAAGGCAAGGUUUUCUCUUUGGAACGGUAGUGGUGUGGAACAGUAGCAUUGAAAUAUGUAAACAGUGUGGGUUUGACAUGACAUUGGAGUUUGGCCCCACUACAGAGAUGCAAAGCUUGCACGAGCCUUGGCAGUUUAGAAGUUGGGCUUCAAAACAUGGCGAACGUUGGUUGGACUUGCUCGAUUCAGACGUUUAAAUGUCCGAAUUACAUUAAAUGAUGGCUUACGGAUGCUGGCUGUGACCUUAUGUUCUUCUGAUGACUUAGGAAAUCUGUGGAUACCAAAUGUAAGAACGGGUUCGAUGCUGUUAUUUUGGGUCAUUUUGUUCGCGUGGGCCUAGAUUGCACGCGAAUGUGCGGAGAAGUAAUCAGUAAGCUGACCAUUGCGUCUUUUCUGUCCAUGUAUUCAAGUCCAAAACAUCGGAACAUUACGCACUCGUCCAUUCUGAUGAAAACUCUGUUAAGAAGAUCCUUCUGUUAAAAGUUGGCAGGAAGGUCAUUAUGUAUGGAGCAGGGAAGUUCGUAAUUUCUCCAUGCCCUCGAGAUCAUGACAAAGCCAAGAUUACAGCCAAGGAUUUCUUGCCAAGAGAUUCUCUUUGGACGCAUGCCACAAAGUGCACUGCCAAACCUACCCCGAAACAGUCCGAGAGCAGUUUCGUACGGAGUGGUCUAAUGCUUCUGUCUCGGUUCGCUCAUAAUCCUUUGGAAGGUGAUGAGCCGCUAGAAUACGUACUUUCCGGAAUGAAAGAAACCAUCGGUAAUCCUGGAGUGUAAGACAUUUGUGAGAAAGACAGUUUAAUUAAAGGGUUUAGAUAUUGUUUGCGGGCAGAAUUGGAGAGGAAUCGUAACAAAGGAAGAAAGACUUGGAAAACUUAAGAAGAAAACUAAGGACUGUUUCGAGAUUGCUGAAGAAAGUAAACAAAGGUAAUCCUCAGCCCAAACCCCUAAGCUUUUUCAUAUCGGGUUCCGGAUUUAAUUCGGUGACGAAGGCUGUAAAUGACUUAGAAUGUGAACCCGAUUUCCCUCGCUUAGCCCAAGUACUAGGGAAUUACGUGAAACAAAUUUGUCUGGUGAAAUAAAUCUGCCCAACCCAACAAAUAAUGCAGCAAUAAGGCGUGAAGGCCGCGACUUUAAGGGUCUCUAUGAAGUAUUGUGGAACAGUGAAGUAGCAAGCAUGGCCAACAGACGACAAAAACUUAGGAGAAUGAACAAAAAAGAAACGAAUGCACACAUAACAGAAGAUCUAGUUUAGUCAGACUAAAGGAUUCCCUGGUGGACUCCAAUUACUGAAGGUGUUAAAUUAACCACAGCCUAGCCUUGAUUACUAGAAAAGGGUUGAACAAAGCAUAGUGUUAGGAAUCGUGGCAUUUAAUCAGGGAAGAUUACUCGAAGUGGUUGACAUGACAGUGACUGACUACACAA